CUUCUAAUGAUGCAGUAGUGCUGAAGAAUGUUGUUGCGCCUUUGCAAUGUGUCAUUAUUACUUGGAAGGGGGGGGGAAACACCUGUAUUGUUUGGCCUAUAUAAAGGAUAUUUAAGAAAAAGAUUCAAACCAAAUGUGGAGGAAACUUAAACCUUUGCCACAGAUGUUCCCUUUCUGUAGGAAAUGUAAAUUGUAGCUGUGCAAAGUGAACUAAAUGGAACAUCUGUGAGUUCUUGUUUUCAUUCUUAAAGACUUGAUUCUUUUUGUUUCUACUUCUCUUAGAGAUGCAUAUUUGCCUUGAUCCUCCUUCCAUUGCCUGGAAACUUCAGUGAUGCUGAGCUCAGCCCCCCCAUGAGAAGAGAAAAAACUGAUCUCAAUAUGCUCUAGACAUGACUAGAUUCUGCAGGUUGGGCAGCACUUGCUGUGUAAACAUCAGCAGAGUCCAGAUGUCAGUGCGAGGUGGAGUAAUUGAGAUCUUGCACAGCUGUUUUUAAAGGGCCUAGAACAGACCCUUCACCUCUGAAUACAGG
rnacentral:lncRNA from 1 species